ACUGGGUGUGGUGGUGCACGCCUGUAAUUCCAGCGACUUAGGAGGCUGAGAUAGGAGGAUUGCGAAUUCAAAACUAUCCUCAGUAACUUAGCAAGGCACUUGUAAAUCAGUGAGACCCUGUCUCUA
rnacentral:sRNA from 1 species